rnacentral:rRNA from 1 species
AUUGAACGCUGGCGGCACGCCUAACACAUGCAAGUCGAACGGCAGCGGGAUGUAGCUUGCUACAUUGCCGGCGAGUGGCGGACGGGAGAGUAAUGCGUAGGAAUCUACCCAAGAGAUGAGGAUAACGUGGGGAAACUCACGCUAAUACUGAAUACGCCCUACGGGGUAAAGGUUGCGCAAGCAUCCGCUUUUGGAUGAGCCUACGUUUGAUUAGCUAGUUGGUGGGGUAAAGGCCUACCAAGGCGACGAUCAAUAGCUGUUCUGAGAGGAAGAUCAGCCACACUGGGACUGAGACACGGCCCAGACUCCUACGGGAGGCAGCAGUGGGGAAUCUUGGACAAUGGGGGCAACCCUGAUCCAGCGAUGCCGCGUGUGUGAAGAAGGCCUUAGGGUUGUAAAGCACUUUAAUGAGGGAGGAGUAGGGUAUUUUUAAUAGAGAUGCCUGAGGACGUUACCUCAAGAAUAAGCACCGGCUAACUCUGUGCCAGCAGCCGCCGCCGUAA